GACGAACGCUGGCGGCGUGCUUAACACAUGCAAGUCGAACGGAAAGGCCCUGCUUUUGUGGGGUGCUCGAGUGGCGAACGGGUGAGUAACACGUGAGUAACCUGCCCUUGACUUUGGGAUAACUUCAGGAAACUGGGGCUAAUACCGGAUAGGAGCUCCUGCUGCAUGGUGGGGGUUGGAAAGUUCCGGCGGUUGGGGAUGGACUCGCGGCUUAUCAGCUUGUUGGUGGGGUAGUGGCUUACCAAGGCUUUGACGGGUAGCCGGCCUGAGAGGGUGACCGGCCACAUUGGGACUGAGAUACGGCCCAGACUCGUACGGGAGGCAGCAGUGGGGAAUAUUGCACAAUGGGCGGAAGCCUGAUGCAGCAACGCCGCGUGCGGGAUGACGGCCUUCGGGUUGUAAACCGCUUUCGCCUGUGACGAAGCGUGAGUGACGGUAAUGGGUAAAGAAGCACCGGCUAACUACGUG
rnacentral:rRNA from 1 species